UGUCCAGACUCCUACGGGAGGCAGCAGUGGGGAAUAUUGCACAAUGGGGGAAACCCUGAUGCAGCGACGCCGCGUGAGUGAAGAAGUAUUUCGGUAUGUAAAGCUCUAUCAGCAGGGAAGAAAAUGACGGUACCUGACUAAGAAGCCCCGGCUAACUACGUGCCAGCAGCCGCGGUAAUACGUAGGGGGCAAGCGUUAUCCGGAUUUACUGGGUGUAAAGGGAGCGUAGACGGCAUGGCAAGUCAGAUGUGAAAGCCCGGGGCUCAACCCCGGGACUGCAUUUGAAACUGUCAGGCUGGAGUGCAGGAGAGGUAAGUGGAAUUCCUAGUGUAGCGGUGAAAUGCGUAGAUAUUAGGAGGAACACCGGUGGCGAAGGCGGCCUGCUGGACUGCGACUGACGUUGAGGCCCGAAAGCGUGGGGAGCAAACAGGAUUAGAUACCCCUGUAUA
rnacentral:rRNA from 1 species